UCCCUGGUAGCUCAGUGGUAAAGAAUCUGCCUGCAAUUCAGGAGACCAGGGUUAGAUCUCUGGCUUGGGAA
rnacentral:tRNA from 1 species